GCAUAGCGCCGUUGGGUUUUCCCUUCGGCACGUCUGGUUCAGGGUUGUUAACCAUAUACUACAAUGAGGGCAAUUUCAACAUUGUUUGUCAAAUGGCAUUUGUCUUUAAGAUAAUUCCCAUUUCAGUUCAAGAACAUAUACAUGCAACGUGAUGUUUUGAAAUUGUAACAUCCCUGAAUGAUAUGAACAUGUUGCCACUAUUUGAGUGUACUCAGCGAAUAUUGAGAUUGACUUAGAUAGUGACAUGUAUGGCGACGAUGUUCUUUUAUCAUUUGUAUAAUGCAACCUGAGCUCAGGCGUGAUUACCCGCUGAACUUAAGCAUAUCAUUUAGCGGAGGAAAAGAAACUAA
rnacentral:rRNA from 1 species